AUUGAACGCUGGCGGCAGGCCUAACACAUGCAAGUCGAGCGGAUGAAGGGAGCUUGUUCCUGGCUUCAGCGGCGGACGGGUGAGUAAUGCCUAGGAAUCUGCCCGGUAGUGGGGGAUAACGUCCGGAAACGGGCGCUAAUACCGCAUACGUCCUGAGGGUGAAAGUGGGGGAUCUUCGGACCUCACGCUAUCAGAUGUGCCUCGGUCGGAUUAGCUAGUUGGUGGGGUAAAGGCCUACCAAGGCGACGAUCCGUAACUGGACUGAGAGGAUGAUCAGUCACACUGGAACUGAGACACGGUCCAGACUCCUACGGGAGGCAGCAGUGGGGAAUAUUGGACAAUGGGCGAAAGCCUGAUCCAGCCAUGCCGCGUGUGUGAAGAAGGUCUUCGGAUUGUAAAGCACUUUAAGUUGGGAAGAAGGGCAGUAAGUUAAUACCUUGCUGUUUUGACGGUACCAACAGAAUAAGCACCGGCUAACUUCGUG
rnacentral:rRNA from 1 species